UGGGCGCAGCCGGGCAGAGCGAGGCCGCGGGAGGCCGCCGGCCCCGGGUCACCGCCACCGCCGGCCCCGCGGCGCCGCUGUCACUUCGGUCCCGCGACCCCAACUUUCCGCACAGUCGCGGAGCUGGAAGUUUCCGGGCUUCGCGGGCGCUGGGCUGGGUUUCAGCAGCGACGUCUGAGCUUGGCAACAAAGAGGGAAAGCAGGCCUGGAGAGGGAGGAAAGAAAGAAAGACAUGGAGAGCGGCCCGGCUACUUAGAAGUCUCCAGAACUUGAAAUUCCACCCAGAAGCUUUUUUUGGUCGUUUCUUCUUAAGUGCGUCCUGGGGACAUGUCUGGGCUGGAGGAGGCAGCCGAGGGGCCCCAGGCCCAGGAACCUGCACAGUGGCCAAGCCCAGUCCCUCCCAGGGCCAUCUGAGCACUGGACCAGGAGCUGAGAGGCAUGGGGCACCAGCUGUCACUCGACCUUGGGACACCCCCGCCCUGCCCUGUUCAUCCGUUUGUCUGUCCUUCCUGCAAGACGUGUUUAUGGAGAAAACUGACCCAGGCCUGCUAGUCCAGAGCUCUGUGAAAAGCUAGGAGAAUGGGGCUGUUGGUUUGUGUUUUAAAGAGAAAUGAGCGAGGGUGCCAUGGAGGGCAGGUUGUGGGGGGGGGAAUAUGUUGUCAUUUGUCUCACAGAAGUGGGCAGAGCUUCAAAGUGCUGGAGAGCCUCUCCCUUCAGUGGCUGUUUGUCCGUCCAGUGCUUUCUGCACGGCGAUUCUUUCUAGGGUCAGUCCCGGAGGGCCAGGCAGAGUUUGUGGAAGAGGCCACACCCUG
rnacentral:lncRNA from 1 species